rnacentral:misc_RNA from 1 species
GGUAUCAAAAGAAAGCUCUCAGAAUAAGCUUUUCAACGCCACCAGAAUUGCCUUGAUCGGAUGUUGGAUGGGGCCGGAACAGCGUCGAAAAGCCGCUGCCCAUUGUGUGCGCGUUUCUCUCUCUUCUCCUUAUCUUGCCGCCGCCUCUGGUGGUGUUGUCGGCCAUCUGGUGGCUCGCCGGCGUUGCUUGAAGCUGUUUGGUUGCCGGUCAGUCGUGGUUGCUCCUUCACCGGCCAGAAGUAUGGAGAAAAGGGAGAGAAG